rnacentral:tRNA from 1 species
GCUUUCAUGGUGUAACGGUAGCACACUCGGCGCGUAUUCGAGAGGUCCAGGUUCGAGUCCCGGCUAGGGCA